AAGAAAUUUGGAGUUUUAUCAACAAUUAACUGACAAACUACAGAAGAGCUAAUCAAAAUGCACUCCCUUUGACUCCGUAGCAGAGGACCACAUGCAAACCAGGCUUUUGAAUUGCGGGACAUAAUACUGAUCAGUUAUUAAGAGGAUAUAUAUUUAAGGAGCUGGUGUAUCCACGCCAUCUUCAGUCGCGAUCAACCAUUAGAACAUGAACAAUGUUUAGGGGGCAGAGCAGGCACCAACAGAGAAACAAGCCCAUCACUAAUGCACAAAGAUCCAGCUGAUUACUGGCAGUUUGGCGGAUUGAUCUUAAUGUGGUGUAUAUAUGCCAUUUCUGGUAUGGAAUCAUGGAUCUACUAAUGUAUGUUUUGAUUUUACAGUGCAUCCGGAAAGUAUUCAUAGCGCCUCAAAUUAAUCACCUUUUCCACAUUUUUUAUGUUACAGCCUUAUUCCAAAAUUUAUUAAAUUAAUUUAUGUCCUCAAAAUU